rnacentral:rRNA from 1 species
UCUGGCCUGCCCACUGACGUUUGUUAAAGGGCCGCGGUAUUUUGACCGUGCGAAGGUAGCAUAAUCAUUAGUCUUUUAAUUGGAGGCUUGUAUGAAUGGUUGGACAAAAAAUAAGCUGUCUCUGUUUUGUAUCUUGAAUUUAACUUUUAAGUGAAAAGGCUUAAAUGAUCUGGGGGGACGAUAAGACCCUAUAAAGCUUUACGGUUUGUUAAUUAAAUUAUAAAUUGUUAGUAUAAACUUAAUUUAGCUAACAGCUGUUUCGUUGGGGCGACGAAAAUAUAAUAGAUAGUAACUGUUUUUCUUUUAUAAUAACAAUGAUUUUUGGUAGUAAUUGAUCCUUUAUUAAAGAUUAAAAGAUUAAGUUACUUUAGGGAUAACAGCGUAAUCUUCUUUGAGAGUUCAUAUCGACAAGAAGGGUUGCGACCUCGAUGUUGAAUUAAGGUUUCCUUGAGGUGUAGCAGUUUCAUGGGAGGGUCUGUUCGACCCUUAAAUCCUUACGUGAUCUGAGUCCAGACCGGA